rnacentral:rRNA from 1 species
GUAGCAAGGUUAACCGUAUAGGGGAGCCGGAGGGAAACCGAGUCUUAAUUGGGCGUUAAGUUGCAGGGUAUAGACCCGAAACCCGGUGAUCUAGCCAUGGGCAGGUUGAAGGUUGGGUAACACUAACUGGAGGACCGAACCGACUAAUGUUGAAAAAUUAGCGGAUGACCUGUGGCUGGGGGUGAAAGGCCAAUCAAACCGGGAGAUAGCUGGUUCUCCCCGAAAGCUAUUUAGGUAGCGCCUCGUGAAUUCAUCUCCGGGGGUAGAGCACUGUUUCGGCUAGGGGGCCAUCCCGGCUUACCAACCCGAUGCAAACUGCGAAUACCGGAGAAUGUUAUCACGGGAGACACACGGCGGGUGCUAACGUCCGUCGUGAAGAGGGAAACAACCCAGACCGCCAGCUAAGGUCCCAAAGUCAUGGUUAAGUGGGAAACGAUGUGGGAAGGCCCAGACAGCCAGGAUGUUGGCUUAGAAGCAGCCAUCAUUUAAAGAAAGCGUAAUAGCUCACUGGUCGAGUCGGCCUGCGCGGAAGAUGUAACGGGGCUAAACCAUGCACCGAAGCUGCGGCAGCGAACGUAUCACCCAAGACAACUUUACGGAGUUGACGAUUGACGGAGCGAAGCGACGUCAAAGCGUUCAUUAAAGUCGAGUUGGCUUAGGGAUACGUUCGUUGGGUAGGGGAGCGUUCUGUAAGCCUGUGAAGGUGUGUCGUGAGGCAUGCUGGAGGUAUCAGAAGUGCGAAUGCUGACAUAAGUAACGAUAAAGCGGGUGAAAAGCCCGCUCGCCGGAAGACCAAGGGUUCCUGUCCAACGUUAAUCGGGGCAGGGUGAGUCGACCCCUAAGGCGAGGCCGAAAGGCGUAGUCGAUGGGAAACGGGUUAAUAUUCCCGUACUUGGUGUUACUGCGAAGGGGGGACGGAGAAGGCUAUGUUGGCCGGGCGACGGUUGUCCCGGUUUAAGCGUGUAGGUGUGUGUUCCAGGUAAAUCCGGUUCACUUUAACACUGAGGCGUGACGACGAGGCACUACGGUGCUGAAGCAACAAAUGCCCUGCUUCCAGGAAAAGCCUCUAAGCAUCAGGUAACAUCAAAUCGUACCCCAAACCGACACAGGUGGUCAGGUAGAGAAUACCAAGGCGCUUGAGAGAACUCGGGUGAAGGAACUAGGCAAAAUGGUGCCGUAACUUCGGGAGAAGGCACGCUGACACGUAGGUGAAGUGAUUUACUCAUGGAGCUGAAGUCAGUCGAAGAUACCAGCUGGCUGCAACUGUUUAUUAAAAACACAGCACUGUGCAAACACGAAAGUGGACGUAUACGGUGUGACGCCUGCCCGGUGCCGGAAGGUUAAUUGAUGGGGUCAGCGCAAGCGAAGCUCCUGAUCGAAGCCCCGGUAAACGGCGGCCGUAACUAUAACGGUCCUAAGGUAGCGAAAUUCCUUGUCGGGUAAGUUCCGACCUGCACGAAUGGCGUAAUGAUGGCCAGGCUGUCUCCACCCGAGACUCAGUGAAAUUGAACUCGCUGUGAAGAUGCAGUGUACCCGCGGCAAGACGGAAAGACCCCGUGAACCUUUACUAUAGCUUGACACUGAACAUUGAGCCUUGAUGUGUAGGAUAGGUGGGAGGCUUUGAAGUGUGGACGCCAGUCUGCAUGGAGCCGACCUUGAAAUACCACCCUUUAAUGUUUGAUGUUCUAACGUGGACCCGUAAUCCGGGUUGCGGACAGUGUCUGGUGGGUAGUUUGACUGGGGCGGUCUCCUCCUAAAGAGUAACGGAGGAGCACGAAGGUUGGCUAAUCCUGGUCGGACAUCAGGAGGUUAGUGCAAUGGCAUAAGCCAGCUUGACUGCGAGCGUGACGGCGCGAGCAGGUGCGAAAGCAGGUCAUAGUGAUCCGGUGGUUCUGAAUGGAAGGGCCAUCGCUCAACGGAUAAAAGGUACUCCGGGGAUAACAGGCUGAUACCGCCCAAGAGUUCAUAUCGACGGCGGUGUUUGGCACCUCGAUGUCGGCUCAUCACAUCCUGGGGCUGAAGUAGGUCCCAAGGGUAUGGCUGUUCGCCAUUUAAAGUGGUACGCGAGCUGGGUUUAGAACGUCGUGAGACAGUUCGGUCCCUAUCUGCCGUGGGCGCUGGAGAACUGAGGGGGGCUGCUCCUAGUACGAGAGGACCGGAGUGGACGCAUCACUGGUGUUCGGGUUGUCAUGCCAAUGGCACUGCCCGGUAGCUAAAUGCGGAAGAGAUAAGUGCUGAAAGCAUCUAAGCACGAAACUUGCCCCGAGAUGAGUUCUCCCUGAGACUUAGAGUCUCCUGAAGGAACGUUGAAGACGACGACGUUGAUAGGCCGGGUGUGUAAGCGCAGCGAUGCGUUGAGCUAACCGGUACUAAUGAACCGUGAGGCUUAACCUU